rnacentral:lncRNA from 1 species
AGAUGGGAGAAUGUUAACAGCCAAGAAAUAUGAGGUCUUUGGCUCUUUUCCCAGAACUGCCAGGCUAAGACCUUGGCAGAGACUCAACAGGAAACUGAACUCUAUUUGCAUAUCCUUUUAUACAUGGGAGAUUAAAAGCUUCAACCUUGAGUGAUCACAGUUUUUGAGAAUCAUGAUGAGGCAUUAAAGAGGAGGAGGAGUGUCUCAAGGGAGGUGAGCUGGAGGCGAUGCAAGGUUUUCUGUCUUUCCUCUUCUGUCUCCUUCCAUCUGGAGUCGAGGGUGAAGCCACUCCACUGCAGACCAUUGAGUGCUGAGAGGAAUGGAGUCAGUAUUACUGAGCACCUGUGCUGUUGUAGUCACUCAGGGCCACAGUGCUGGCUGGGAGCACCAGACGAAUCAACCAACAAAGGCAUUGAAGAGUGAUGGAGAAAGCUGUGUUUUGGGCCUCAUUGGGAACAGAAUGGAAGAGCUGAGGGUGGAAGGGACCUUAGCAAAUCUUCAGAUCCAUGUUUCAACCUGCAUUUCCCCAUAACCUCAAGCAGAGAGUUGCUUUUCCUGUUCUUCAAAUGAGUUCCUUGAAUUCACACUCUAUUUCUUUGAAUUCGCACAGACUGUUGAGGAACAGGAGGUGGGGUCACCCUACCUCUUAUCAGACAAACCUGGAAGAGAAAAAUUUUACAUAGAAUACUGGGCUGGAAGAGGCCUGGGAACUUGGGGAUCCCCUUUCCUCUCUGCCCACUCUGGAUUUCAAGAGGCAGCUAUGCUGCAGUGAGACCACUGAAUUUAGAUUCAGGAAUCUGAGUUUACACCUGACUCCUCCUCUUACUUGCAAGUCACUUACCACACCAGGCCUCAGUUUCCUGGACAAUAAAUGGGGAUAACAUUGUUCCAUGUGGUUGGUGGUGGUCAUGAAAUUAUGCACAAGAGCACACCUUAUAGUCUAAGUUAGGCCUGCACUAACCUAGAUUAGCUGACGAGGGUGGAAGGUGGGAGGGGUGGGCUUCAGUGUGUGACUUACCUAGAGGCCCGAGAGAGUCAUGUUGGAUAGGGCAGCACUUAUGAGUCCCCUGCUUUCCCAGUGUGGCUCUGAGAAUCUUCAGGAAGAAUUCGCUGGUUGAAUUCUCAGCUCUACCAGGAAAGGUGUGCUGGAGACCAGGACCGUAGAAGUCUCCUUGCUGAUGUACAAGAAUCAGGAAGCCAUCUCGGGUCCUCUUUACCAGCACAUAGUAUGAUUAUUCAUCUUCUUCUCUGUCAAUUGGCACUGGA